rnacentral:rRNA from 1 species
AUACGUAGGUGGCAAGCGUUGUCCGGAUUUACUGGGCGUAAAGGAUGCGUAGGCGGAUGUUUAAGUGAGAUGUGAAAUACCCGAGCUCAACUUGGGUGCUGCAUUUCAAACUGGAUAUCUAGAGUGCAGGAGAGGAAAGCGGAAUUCCUAGUGUAGCGGUGAAAUGCGUAGAGAUUAGGAAGAACACCAGUGGCGAAGGCGGCUUUCUGGACUGUAACUGACGCUGAGGCAUGAAAGCGGUGGGGAGAC